ACACGACUACAUUAGAUACCCCCGUAGUCCUAGCCGUAAACGAUACUCGCUAGGUGUCGGCCACGGUGCGACCGUUGUCGGUGCCGUAGGGAAGCCGUGAAGCGAGCCACCUGGGAAGUACGGCCGCAAGGCUGAAACUUAAAGGAAUUGGCGGGGGAGCACCACAACGGGUGGAGCUUGCGGUUUAAUUGGAUUCAACGCCGGAAAUCUUACCGGGACCGACAGUAACAUGAAGGCCAGGCUGAAGACUUUGCCGGAUUAGCUG
rnacentral:rRNA from 1 species